UGGGGAAUAUUGCACAAUGGGGGAAACCCUGAUGCAGCGACGCCGCGUGAGUGAAGAAGUAUUUCGGUACGUAAAGCUCUAUCAGCAGGGAAGAAAAAAAUGACGGUACCUGACUAAGAAGCCCCGGCUAACUACGUGCCAGCAGCCGCGGUAAUACGUAGGGGGCAAGCGUUAUCCGGAUUUACUGGGUGUAAAGGGAGCGUAGACGGCAGCGCAAGUCUGGAGUGAAAUGCCGGGGCCCAACCCCGGAACUGCUUUGGAAACUGUGCAGCUGGAGUGCAGGAGAGGUAAGCGGAAUUCCUAGUGUAGCGGUGAAAUGCGUAGAUAUUAGGAGGAACACCAGUGGCGAAGGCGGCUUACUGGACUGUAACUGACGUUGAGGCUCGAAAGCGUGGGGAGCAAACAGG
rnacentral:rRNA from 1 species